GAGGGUAUAGCUCAGUUGGUAGAGUGCCUGCUUCACAUGCAUGAGGUCCUGGGUUCAAUCCCCUGUACCUCCA